UUUUGGGCUGGGAUUUACGAUUGCAAUCUGUUCAUGGCCCAGCCUGAGGUGAGCAAAUUGAGUUAAACGGGCCACCUUAUGAUGCGCCUAAAUGAAACUUCAACUAUCAAUUAUCAUCUGAUCGUCGUGAUGUAAAUCAUUUAAAAGCUGGCUUAAGCCUGGAGAUAUGCUAGAGGGUAUGCUUGGUGACUAGGAUUGGAUUGUAGUGAAGUGCAUUAGAUUGGAGAGAACAACACUAUCUAAUCAAUUGUUUGGUGAUAACAAGAUUAAAGUAGUUGGAUGAGUUAUGUCACGAGGUCGAAUUAGCCCACUGUAAUUGCAAUGGAAAAGUUUCUUCUUUACUAAUCCAUCUCCUCUCCUUCCAAGUUAAUCGUAAUUUUUUGAUUUCUUUCUUCAACAUACAAUGAAAAUAACAUCUUUACUAUAUUUUCCGUUCCAAUAUGAUUCUUUUAUACCAAACACUCAAUUUGGUGUGCAGGUUAAGACAAGAUUGGAAUUAAGUCUCAUUCCGUAUAUGUUGGCCACUUGUCCAUUUUAAUGAAUCAAGUUUCCAUGUCAUUAGUAUUUGUCAUGUUUUGACCAGUUCGCCAAACAAGGCACAAUAAUGUAAUCAAUACAAGAGUGUCCAUGAAUUUCUCUUAAAAGGGACAUAGUUCAUUAAGAUAGUGUUGUAGGCCUAUUUAACUGAAGAAUAUAGAAGGAGAAAGAGAGGGUGCGGUGGGAAGAGAGAGAAGAGAGAAUUAGUGAAUUUUGAGGUGUGUAUUAUCUCACUUCAUUGUGUCUUUAAUUACAGUAGUAAGAAAUGGAGAAUCCUUACCUUUUUAUGUAAUACAUCUUAGUUAGGACACUAUCUAAAAGAUACUAUAGAAUUCCAUAACGAUUUACACAAUCACAUUUUUAAUUAAAUUAGGAGACCAACCCACUCCCCCUGAGUGUGUAAAUGCUCAAACAAAAUGUCUUGCCUGGUCUUUAGUGAUGAAAGUAAGAACAGUUGAUGAAGCUGUCAGCAUAACGAGCGAAUGCAAGCUCAAAACAAACAAGAAUGUAUAAGUAGUAAAACUCACAAAACCUCGUUAUGGUGAAACCAGUGUAGAAUAAAAACUCAUAAUCUAAAGAGAAAAAAAAAAUUGCAUGAAGUUAAAACUAAACGCCUUUAGGACGCAUGUAGAAUGUACACAGAGGUACGACCAACCCCGAAUGAGAACCUCGUCAGCUAGCAAGAACCUAAAUGGAAAAAUACUCCUAAUCGUAGGGAAAAUAGUACAUUAAGACCAAGUGAGUGCACUUUUGGAUACUCCUCUUAAGUUUGACAAAACUUCCAAAUGAGAACUACAAACAAUUCAAAUCAGACAACUUACACAUAGCAAUUCUUUGAACAAGUUUCUGGAAAGUAUACUAUGGCAAUGACUUUGUAAAGUUGGCUAGGUUGUCCUAGGAAUAGAUUUGCUUGACUUUAAUUUUUUGAUGCUCUUGUUGCUGAUUUGAAAAGAAGAAUUUAUGCACAAUAUGAUUGGUGUUGUCUUAUUUGAUGUAUCCCUUUUUAUCUGGUCGAUAUAGGCAGUAUUAUCUUUAAAUCAUUGUAGGAACAUCAACGACAGAAGAAAGUCAGCAAGUGCUUUGAAUAUGCUCCAUGAUGGCUCUCAACCAGAAGCAUUGUACGAGUAGCUUCAUAAGGGCGAGCAUUCCCUGGUCCUAGGAGAGCACUAACAUCGAGGUGCAGCAAUGAUGAGCAGACUACAUAAAUAUACGUAUGCCAUAGUGAUUUGAUAGUUCUAAUCAACAUACUAACAGUCAUAGCCGUAGAUAUAAUUAUGGCAUCAAAGAUUAUAAGCACACCUGUGCAUCCUGUAUGAUGUAGCAUAUUUCACAAAUUCUGUCUUCUCGCUAAUUCUUAUAAACUUUAGUCUAAUCCAGGCAUACAUAGGAAAUUCUUUUUCAAAUGCAUAAAUGGAAAUUAUCAAUCACAUAUAAACUUUAGUCUAAUCCAGGCAUACGUAGGAAAUUCUUUUUCAAAUGCAUAAAUGGAAAUUAUCAAUCACACACACACACACACACACACACACACUAUAAAAAGGAAAAGACCCACUCAUAGAUCAUGUCGUUGAGUCAAACCCGUUCGAACUAGAAUAGCUGAAGUCACCGAUAAUAAUCGCAUUUAAGCAUAAUAUUACGACCCAUUAGUAAAACUCCAUUAAAACAAUUAAAUUUGAGAAAGCAAAGUGCAAAUUUGAAGUCAAGACGUAGAAAUACGCUAAGAAGAGUCACUGGCAGAUUUUGUAAAAAGUUAAUGAGAAAAUCAAGGACAAACCCUAAAAAGUCAACUGAUACGCCUUGAUGGUCAACCAAGUUAAAACUUUGGAAUUUCACUAAAUGGAUGUCAAAAAAUGAACUCGGAACAUCGAAAUUUGCCUAGGAGGGUUCUCGAAAAUUUUCUGAAAAGACCAACCUAAUAUUCCAAGAAUAUUUUAGAGAAUAUUCCAAGAAUAUUCCAGAGAAUAUUCUGAGCCCAAGUCUGAAACGGGCCGGCCUGGGACAAAGGCCGAAGGGUUGGGUUUAUGAUUUGGGCCGAGUUUGGCUGAAGCCCUACUAUUUUUUUUUUCUUUUUUUUUUUUUUUUUCUUCUUCUUCUUCUUCUCCGGCGGGUGGACAGCAAAAUAGAGCUCCAAAACUUUAACCAUAAUUUACCAUUUAAUUACCAAAAUGAAGUUAAGAGGGUAGGGAUUUGAAUUAUACCAUUGUGGUCCCUUGCCGUGGCCUGAUCUAGCCGGAAAAAGCCUGCAAAAGGCCCGGUUUCCUCAUCGGAGACUGGGGAACUUCCCCUCGCACAAUUUCCGUAGCAAAACGUCACCAAAACAUCACAACGUUACCCUAAUCGUAUUCUAGAACAUGAUCGAAGAAGGUUUAAAGAGUUUUCGAAGCUUACCCUCGCCGGAAAUUGCGAGAAAUCGCCAGAGAGAUUCUUGAACAGUGGCGGUGCCACUGUGCAGAGAAAGAAGGGGGAAGAAGGGUCUCUGCCUGGUUUGGAAUCGUGACUAGGAAGGUUUUUUUUUUUUUUUUUUUUUUGUUAAUUUAGAUGGUGAUCGUUGGUGACGAUGCUCGCCGGAAUGGCGAGUAAGACCGGAGGUGGUGCUCCCGGUGUUGCAGCAAGGGAGGAGUCUGAGAGAAAGAGAGAGCUCGUCGGGAGAGUUAGAGAGUCUCCGAGCAUAGCAGUCACGGUGGCCGGCUCGCCGGAGUGGUGACAGUGUGGUGAUGGUGGUGUGGCUCGCCAAAGAAUACGGUGAGUGGGGUGGACGGCCUCAGCGCCGGUAGUUGCAGAGAGAAAAGAAAGAGAAGUCGGGAAAGGAGAGAGCUCAGAGUGCUAGAGCGAAAACACAUGGCAGCAAGAGAGUGGUCCCAAAAAUUAAAAUAAAAAAAAAGAGUCAAAAAGAGAUAAGAUCAAUUCCAUCUCUAAAGAUUUUAUCCACUCAGUGAACAGUGAUAGACUCCAAUAAACAGUAAUAUGCCAAGAGCAUCUCUAUUCUUAAAAAAAAAUAGCCUAGUCAAAUUUAUUAAAAUAUUAUUAUUAUUUAUUAUAAAAUAAUAAUUGUAUUAUAAAAAAAAGAAAGAUAAAGUCAUCCCUCUGUACCCUUCCUACCAACCGGUUCUCUCCCUCUCUCUCUAUUUUCUCCCCCUCUCUCUUUUGCAGCUCACUCCCGUGAGCUCUUCUUCUCAUUCCUCUUCAAAACCUUCAACAAAUCAAACACAAAAUAUUAUUUUUGUAAUCCUUGGAGCUCAAGGAACCCAACCAUGGCCUUGCAUGCAGCAUCGGUGCAUGGUGCGAGAUCCCACCAUUGAAGCCAAGAGCUUGAGCUCUCAAUCUCUAACCCAGGUGAUGUUUCUAUCACUGUAUCGUGUUCUUGAGCUUUAAAUCCUGUUGUGUUGCAAUUUUUGUGGUUAAUUUGAGGGUUUAAUUCCCUGCAUGUGAUUCCGACAAAGGAAAACGGACAACUCCGACGAGUUCAAGGUCCAAUCUCGGUGAAAUCUCUUGCAUUUCACCUGGAUUUUCUGUCGAACUCGGGCCAUCAUUUUCAGGCCAUUUGCCUUCUCCCUCCGUCGCUCCAUCCAUCGCUGACAUCACCACGGCGUCAUAUGGGCCGGUCCCAAGGUCUGUCAAUUUUGGGCUGGCCUGGAGACCAGCUUGGGCUGGAUGCCAGGCAAUCCUGUGGGCUGGAGGGACUUCCCUAGGUGCCGGGCCAUUUUUUUGGUUGUGUGCCGCCCUAUCCCACCCCCAGUGGAAGUGCUCUAAGGGAUACAGGGACAAGGGUGAUAUGAGACCCAUGUGGGUGGAUCCCAUCAUGGAGAAAUCUUACACAGAAAAAUUAAUAAAAUAAUAAAAGGGUGUUUAUCGAGGAUAAUGAAUUUAUCAAAAUAUUCUUAUUGAA